rnacentral:lncRNA from 1 species
GGAAAUAUGUUAGCAGCCAUGUGCCCACAUACCUGUUACCACAAAAGAAAACAAGAAUGGAUUGGGGUUAACUGCCAGCCCCACAGUCUUAGCCACAUUAACCAUUAUAGAACCCAUUUUACAUAGGAGAGAAGUUAAGCUAAGAAAACUUGCCUUACAUAACCAGUAAGUGGCAGAGCAAGGAUUUGAACCUCAACUUCAAUACUCACUUCCACAUGCUCCAUAGGGUAGACUUCUAUUGCUCCUCCAUGGAGGAGGUGUUGAAGAAAGGAUUGAGAUGAUUACCCCAGUCUGGCACACAGAAAGAGGCCUAUGUAGUAAUAUCCAGCUAAAAAGGCAGUUACUUGACAACUACAGGGGAAAUCAGGUGGCAAACUGAGGACAGAAGCAGAGAGAAAAUGUGUGGCACCUGGAGGAACAAAGAAAAUGUAAAGAUGAAGAUGGAAAGCUACUAACAAUCAAUAAUAAAAGAGGCUGAAAUGGAAAAUUAAGGACAUA